rnacentral:tRNA from 1 species
GCCGAAGUGGUGGAACUGGUAGACGCAGCGGACUCAAAAUCCGCCGGAGGCAACUCCAUGAGGGUUCAAGUCCCUCCUUCGGCA